rnacentral:rRNA from 1 species
CCUGGCUCAGAGUGAACGCUGGCGGCGUGGAUUAGGCAUGCAAGUCGAGCGAUUGCUUUGUUUUGAUGCUUGCAUCGAAACUUAGCGAUAGCGGCAAACGGGUGAGUAUCGCGUGAGCAACUUUCCCUUAAGUUAGGCAUAGCUUUGUGAAAACGAAGGUAAUUCCUAAUAGUAUCCUGAAAACUCAUGUUGUCGGGAUUAAAGGCGGGGAUCUUUUAGACCUGUCGCUUAAGGAUGGGCUCGCGUCCUAUCAGCUUGUUGGUGAGGUAAUGGCUCACCAAGGCGUUUGACGGGUAGCUGGUCUGAGAGGAUGGUCAGCCACACUGGGACUGAGACACUGCCCAGACUCCUACGGGAGGCUGCAGUCGAGAAUAUUUAGCAAUGGGCGAAAGCCUGACUAUGCGACGCCGCGUGCAGGAUGAAGGUUUUCGGAUUGUAAACUGCUUUUGUCAAGAAAGAACAUGUUUAGGUUAAUACCCUAAACACUGACGGUACUUGACGAAUAAGCCACGGCCAACUCCGUGCCAGCAGCCGCGGUAAUACGGAGGUGGCGAGCGUUACUCGGAAUCAUUGGGUGUAAAGGGCAAGUAGGCGGUUUGUUGUGUGAGGGGUGAAAUCUUCCGACUCAAUCGGAAAAUUGCCUUUCAAACUGACAAACUUGAGGGAGAAAGAGGGAAAUGGAAUUCCAGGUGUAAGGGUGAAAUCUGUAGAUAUCUGGAAGAACACCAGCGGCGAAGGCGAUUUCCUGGUUCUCUCCUGACGCUAAAUUGCGAAAGCUAGGGGAGCAAACAGAAUUAGAUACUCUGGUAGUCCUAGCCGUAAACGAUGAGCACUAGGUGUCGGCCCUUCUGGGGUCGGUGCCGCAGCUAACGCAUUAAGUGCUCCACCUGGGGACUACGGUCGCAAGGCUAAAACUCAAAGGAAUUGACGGGGACCCGCACAAGCGGUGGAACAUGUGGUUUAAUUCGAUGAUACGCGAAGAACCUCACCAAGGUUUGACAUGCAAGCAGUAGCGACCUGAAAGGGAAGCGAGCCGUCAAGUCCGGCAAUUUGCACAGGUGCUGCAUGGCUGUCGUCAGCUCGUGUCGUGAGAUGUUGGGUUAAGUCCCGCAACGAGCGCAACCAUUUUCUCAUGUUGCCACUUCUUUGGUAGCUUGCUAUCAAAGGAAGCACUCUUGAGAGACUGCCUGGGAUAACUAGGAGGAAGGUGGAGAUGACGUCAAGUCAGUACGGCCUUUAUGCCUUGGGCUACACACGUGUUACAAUGGCUGAUACAAAGGGUUGCCAACCCGAGAGGGGGAGCUAAUCUCAAAAAAUCAACCUCAGUUCGGAUUGGAGUCUGCAAUUCGACUCCAUGAAGCUGGAAUCGCUAGUAAUGGAAGAUCAGCACGCUUCCGUGAAUACGUUCCCGGGUCUUGUACACACCGCCCGUCAAGCGAU